CAGAAGCUGUUGGAGGCUGUUUUGCCACCACUUCCCAUGAACCCCGCUGAGCCUGUUCCUGGCAGCCUUGCUCCUGGUCCCUGCGAGCGGCUCCCUCACAGGCUGUUCCCACAGAAACCACCUGGGAACAUGCAAAGCAGGCGGCCCGACAGGACGGGGGGUCGGGGGGGCCUGCAGGUGAGCUGCCGGAGCUGCUGGCAGGACAGGGGGGCCUGCAGGUGAGCUGCCGGAGCUGCUGGCAGAGGCGCGCCCGGCCUCCCCGGUGAGGCAAGCACAGAGCAGGGGAUAAUUAGGGGAACAAAGAUAGAGCGGAUUGCAACACGGAGCUCCUGCGUGUUCCUUCCCAGGAGCUCGGGCAGCGCCGUGUUUCCGCCUUCACCCCGUCAGGGAGCGAGCGGGAGGCUCCCGGGAGGGUGUGGCGGAGGCAGCGAGGCCUCUUCCUGGACGAGACACAGGGGUACCGUCCCGGAUAAGGCGCCGCGUGAACAGCCGGCCGUCUCAGCGCGAGUCCCGGUGCUGAGCCCUGGAGGCUGACGGGUCUCCCCGACCAGCUCCCGAGCUCCACGCUGCAGAACCUUGGCCCCGCCCACUGGUCUCUGGGGCACCUUCUCCACACUGGCCUCGCUCUCCCCUCUGGACCCAAACGCAAGCUCGUUCCCUGAGAACAGAGAGGCCUCCCCGUCUGACCCAGCCCAGGGCCCACAGGACCGGCCCGUGUUCUGUGCUUUGGGGCAGGUGCCUGGCCCCCUGCAGGGGUUGCCCUUGUUCAACAGCCAACAGCUGGGGGUCCACUCAGCCCGACAGCGAGCACGUCAACCUCGUGGCCGCCCGCGCUCAGCCAAUAUGACGGGACGUAGAAACGUUUCAAUAAAAUUCCGUAACUUA